rnacentral:rRNA from 1 species
CCGCGGUAAUACGGAGGAUGCGAGCGUUAUCCGGAUUUAUUGGGUUUAAAGGGUGCGUAGGCGGCCUGUUAAGUCAGCGGUGAAAUCUAGGAGCUUAACUCCUAAAUUGCCAUUGAUACUGGCGGGCUUGAGUGUAGAUGAGGUAGGCGGAAUGCGUGGUGUAGCGGUGGAAUGCAUAGAUAUCACGCAGAACUCCGAUUGCGAAGGCAGCUUACUAAGGUACAACUGACGCUGAAGCACGAAAGCGUGGGUAUCAAACAGGAUUAGAUACCCUGGUAGUCCACGCUGUAAACGAUGAUAACUGGGCGUAUGCGAUAUACAGUAUGCUCCUAAGCGAAAGCGUUAAGUUAUCCACCUGGGGAGUACGCCGGCAACGGUGAAACUCAAAGGAAUUGACGGGGGCCCGCACAAGCGGUGGAGCAUGUGGUUUAAUUCGACGCAACGCGAGGAACCUUACCAGCGUUUGACAUC